AGCAGUAGCCGCGGUAAUACAGAGGGUGCAAGCGUUAAUCGGAAUUACUGGGCGUAAAACGCGCGUAGGUGGUUUGUUAAGUUGGAUGUGAAAUCCCCGGGCUCAACCUGGGAACUGCAUUUGUGACUGGCAAGCUAGAGUAUGGCAGAGGGGGGUGGAAUUCCGCGUGUAGCAGUGAAAUGCGUAGAUAUGCGGAGGAACACCGAUGGCGAAGGCAGCCCCCUGGGCCAAUACUGACGCUCAUGCACGAAAGCGUGGGGAGCAAACAGGAUUAGAUACCCCUGUAGUCCCUGUCUCUUAUAC
rnacentral:rRNA from 1 species